CGAGAAGUUUUGAAGGAAGCAUCCUAGUAAUCUUCCAUUAAUAUAGCAUUUUCACUCAGAAGAUCUUUAAUUGUUGUACAAUAAUUCUCCAGAGACUUUGAAGAUGCUAGUAAUUGGUAGAAAGACAUUAAUUUGCUUUCUGAAAUGCAGUGCCUUCUGGGGGUGAGAAAUACCUGUUAUGGAACAGGAGUGAAAAUUCACUAAAAGCUGGAAGGCUGAACAGCAAGUUGACAAAAAAAUGUAUGUUGAAAGUUACGAUACUUCAAAGGACAUAUAAUCUGCUGUGCUUUUCAAAACUCCAAAAUAGUUAUCAAUAUUGUUGUCUGUCUUAGAACUGCAGAUUUUCCACAGAAGAAAAAUCGGUUGUGUCAAGGCCAAAAGGAAGAUUCAAAUAAGUCUGAAGAUAAGUAGUCAGGUCAUCUAAUUUAUCUCCUCUACGCUGACUUUUGUUCAUCAGUUGAGUUGCUGCUUUAUAGAUGAGACAGUCUAAUUAGGUCCAGAGAACAUCAUCCAGGAGUCACUGCCUACUGUAAGGUACUAUACUUCAAUUUUAAUGAAGUAUUAUGGGACUCUUAGUUUUAAAUACUUCAUUCAUUACUGUUAGGAUAAUAAUAAUAUAAUAAAAGUAAUUUAUCUGGAUCAGCAUUUUAGAAAGAAACAUAUCUGACGCGCAGUGCAUAAACAAUGAGUAGCCAGAAUAUUUUGGAAUGAGUGGUAUUUAUUAUCCUUAUAUUCUUGAAAGUGAGGAAAAUGAUACUGAAGAUGACAGACCCACAGCGGUUGUGAAAGGAAUGAAAAUGUUGCAAAGGAGUUUUACUUGUCAUACCUACUACAAUGUUUUAAAAAAACAAUUUUGAAUUUCCAAAACAGCAUAGCAGCAUUUACAGCAAAAUAAAAUCCACUUUUUGGCUACAAAAAAUCUCAAGAAAAACAACUAGAAAAUCCAAGAGCAGUUUAAAGCUAACAUUCUCUAACCAUUAAAUACGUUUUCAUAAAACUGGAGACGCUUCUAUUUCCUUCCAGCUAGAAGGGGCGCUGCAUGAUCUACUGGAACUAUCAUUUAUAUUUUCUUUCCAUAAAAUCAGUUAAAUGUUAUUAAUUGAUCUUAGUUCUGAAGGUAAUUUCUUUUCUCCUGCUUCCAAUAAUACUUGCAAAAUUAAAAAGCACUGUCAAUGUUAAUGAAGGGGAAUAAUAUCAGGACCUCUUAAUUAUAUAUGCUGAAAUUCAUCCCCAUGUCUUCAGAGGAACUCAGUGAAUGGGGAGUUUACUUUUUUAUGUGUCACAAAUCUGCACCUUCCUGCUUUUGAUAUUACUUACAAUUUCCACUUGGAAAAUCUCUGUUUUAAAUCUCCAAAAUUCAUUUAACAGGAAAGAAUGCAAAGUCAAAGCUUCGCUAAAAUUAGUGUACGUGAUCUUGGGCUUCACCUGAAGCUCAUGAAAUCAUUACAUUUCGGAUACAUUGGUUUAGCACAUCUCAAAGGAAGAGGUUUAAUAUAUGUCAGAUAAAUUAUCUCUAGAAAUGUCUGUUUCUUGCCAUUCAUUGACUGUAGUGGGAUCCCAGGCAGCCACCUCGGAUAUAGAUGCCUGUGUAGAUUCAGACACUCAGCAGACAAAUGGAAAAUCCCCCUCCCCCUCUUUCCUGCCACCUGCCCUAUGUCUUUCCCUUGACUUCAAGGACUUAGCUCUAAUCUUUCAUCCUCAAUUAAUUCAGGAAUGAAAGAAUGAUUUUCAUUUGCUUUCCACUUCUAUUUUAAGAAAGGAAACAAGGGUUUUGAGGGAAAUCUGGGGAUGGUUUAUAUUAGUGCUCAAUUACACAUUAUUUAGACAAGGGUAAAUAUUAGGAUUUGAGAAUCCAGCACAAGAGUAAUAGAUUUUUCUUUCUUUAAGGAAAAUAGCCUAUUUGCUUUACUGCCAAGCAUUGACUGUUUCAAUAUGUUCAAGCCUAGAAGGCUGAAAACGACGACACAGAUGUGAUUCACAUAGGGCUCACCAGCAUGGUGCUUCAAUGUUCUGGCUUGUUGGAAAGCUUCCAGGGGAUUUAGGAAAAGAACAUACUGCAGAAAUGCAAACCAUUAUUUAGCCAAUUAGUUAGGAAAAUGUGUUGUUUCAGCAUGAUCAGAUUUAGCUUUGUUAAUUUUUAUUUGUUCUCAUUAAAAUUUCCCCACGCAGAACAAAAUAUUUAGUCACAGAGCUGUUAUCUAUAGUUAAAAUGGUUAUUUAUCAAUCAGAAGAAGUUUUAGAGUAUCCUGUGUAUAGAAGGCUUACAUAUCUCCUAGGUGACUGUAGGAAUAAAGUACAAGCGUGCUGCAUAACAGGAAGGCAAACCCAUUAUUCUUUAAGCAAUGUAGCAUUUGAGCCUAGGUCAAGUUUCGUACAUGAAGUUUGAGUAUUUUGAACAUGUAAAGCCUAAUUAAAAGACCUUUAGAAUUAGAUUCUUCUUUCCUAGAACAAGUAUUAUCAAUAUAUUGGGUCUGGAGAGAGGUGAAAGAGACUGUAGAUAAAUGCUGCUCGGUGAUGCUGUUCUCCUUCCAUGAUCCCCUUAUGGACUGGUACAACUGACAAAUGUCAGGCUAUUUUUAAGCAUGUAAUUAAAUUAUCUUGUUUUACAUAAAAUUAAGACACAUUACUUUCUUGUUAUGGAGAUGAAUGUAGUGUAGAUGCAAAAAUUUGCAGAUGAGAAUCAAGAGUGGUUUUACAGGAAGUACUUUCCAGGCUUUCCACAUAGUGAUGAAAUAUGGUAUAAAGCAGCACAGUGUCAAUAAAUCUACAGGAUAAAGGUCAGGUUUACAUCGAUGGACGGAGCUGGCAAAUACAUUUGUUCCUGCAAUGUCUGUGUUUUAAAUGCCACCCUCUGAUGAACCCAGUGCAGAAAUACACUUUAGGGUUUGAUGAGAUGUCAGUUUUGUUCAGUGCUGAUCAAAUAAGAUGAAUGAAAGUGAAACAAGAACAAAAAUAUUACUUCUGUCAUUUAUUUUUUAUGCAUUACAGGAAGUGGGUCAGUCGGGGAGAUUUCUCUUAAACAAAUAGCAAUCACUGCACAAUAUCACCCAUUGAUCUAUUUCACAGCAGGCAAUAGCCUUUUUGUCAGAAAGGACACACAAUUCAAAUACCACGGAAUGCAUAGAAAUGCCCAAUGACAGGUUUAAAAAGUAUCUUCCCCUCCUUUUAUUGACAAGCCAUCCCUUUCCACAGAUCAAUCUAGGCUGCAGAGGCAGGGCAUUCCAAAAAAACUUCCAGAUCUACAGGGAAGGCAGAUAUUCAAUAAAAAAAUGUGGAACAUAAAUUUUGCGUAAUGUAAAAGAAACAUCAUAUUUUGCAAAAAUAAUUUGUUCUUUAUGAUAGGAAUAUGAAGAUACCCGGUGAUAGGGCAAUUGCAUAAGCCUAACCGUAGCAAUGUGAAGGCCCUCUGCUUAGGCUGAGUGACAUAUCGUAUCAUUAAUUUAUCUUCUUCACAAAACAUUAUCAAAUGCUAGAGUCCAUGUAUCCUACACGAUUGUAAAUGUUUUAGAUAAAAAAUAGCUUUGUGGAUAAACUGUUCUGAAAAUGUGACGCUUGCUUUUUACACUUAAUUUGCAUAUGAAAUUAUUUUAAAGCAUUUAAAUUCAAUAUCCUGCUUUGAGUGACUCUAAGCCAUUGUCAUGUGUCUGAAAUUAGGGAGCUAAAUUCAUAUAUAUGCAUUUAAAUAAGUGGUUUGAGUUCCUGAGCAUUUAUGACCUGCGUGGAGGUAAAUGUUAUUUCCAGUUUAUCAUCUGUAUGUCAGAGCAGCUAAAAAGCAAUACAAGAAAUGCUCUAAUAAUAUUUUACAGUUAAUAAGGAAUUUUUGCUUUAUAUCUAUUACAUAUUCAAAUAACUAAAUACUUUGCCUGACAAAAUAUCUUAGUUGAUCAUAAAAUUCGCAUAUCUUCUUCUGAAGAUGUGUAUUUUAAUGCAGUGGCACCCAUAAGCAGAACAGAUUAGAUUUAAUUCAAAAGAUUUCUGUCUACUACUUUGCCCUGUUAUUUGUGGAGGUCAAAUAAAAAACUAAAUUCUAAUGAGUGUCUGGCAUAGAGUAAGCAUUCAUCUAGUAAUGAGCCGAGAUGUGUGAGAAAUGCCAAGAACCUCUCACCUCUGGCUGAAGUCUGGGUUUACAGGUAGCCUAUAAUCUUCACAUUAUCAUGUUCCUUUUUAGAGGAAUAAUCCUCCUCUUCAAAAAUGGGGAGGGAAAUAACUACUUGUGAAAGGGAACAUCGGUUACAGGAGCAAGCUAAACAGAGGAGAAAGGGACCUAUAGGCUGAUUUGUUCCUGCUCUGUCCACUUGUUGGAUUAUACACAAAUAUUUAAAUAUUUACCAUUCGAUAUAAAAAGAUGACAGAUCUUAACCAUGGUAACCACUGUGUCACUCACUAUUUAGUAGACCUCUGUUACCUGUGCAAUGCCUAGAAAUGCCAUUGAAAUAUAAGCAAGUAUUCAAAGCUUCAAAAUUUGUUGAUUAUAUUGUAUAAGGUAUU